rnacentral:RNase_P_RNA from 1 species
AAAGUUUGACAGACAAUCGCUGGUGGCUGAUGAGGCCGCGAGAGGAAAGUCCGGGCUCCGAAGGGCGAAGAUGCUGGAUAACAUCCAGUCGGCGCGAGCCGAAGGAUAGUGCCACAGAAAUGGACCGCCGAUGACCGGUUAGCCGGAACAGGCAAGGGUGGAACCGUGGUGUAAGAGACCACGAGGACCGUUGGUGACAACGGUGCUGGUAAACCCCAUCUGGAGCAAGACCGAGAGAACGAAGCAGACGAGCGGAUUAGUCCGUUUGCGCUGCACCCUUGCCCGGGGAGCGUUCGGGUUGGUUGCUUGAGCUGAUUAGCAAUGAUCGGCCUAGAUAGAUGAUUGUCGCUCAAAAGUGGGAGGGUUGUUCCCGUUCGAACCACAGGCGAGCACAGAACCCGGCUUACGGCAAACUUUCCAU